rnacentral:rRNA from 1 species
AGAGUUUGAUCAUGGCUCAGAUUGAACGCUGGCGGCAGGCCUAACACAUGCAAGUCGAGCGGUAGAGAGAAGCUUGCUUCUCUUGAGAGCGGCGGACGGGUGAGUAAUGCCUAGGAAUCUGCCUGGUAGUGGGGGAUAACGUUCGGAAACGGACGCUAAUACCGCAUACGUCCUACGGGAGAAAGCAGGGGACCUUCGGGCCUUGCGCUAUCAGAUGAGCCUAGGUCGGAUUAGCUAGUUGGUGAGGUAAUGGCUCACCAAGGCGACGAUCCGUAACUGGUCUGAGAGGAUGAUCAGUCACACUGGAACUGAGACACGGUCCAGACUCCUACGGGAGGCAGCAGUGGGGAAUAUUGGACAAUGGGCGAAAGCCUGAUCCAGCCAUGCCGCGUGUGUGAAGAAGGUCUUCGGAUUGUAAAGCACUUUAAGUUGGGAGGAAGGGCAGUUACCUAAUACGUGAUUGUUUUGACGUUACCGACAGAAUAAGCACCGGCUAACUCUGUGCCAGCAGCCGCGGUAAUACAGAGGGUGCAAGCGUUAAUCGGAAUUACUGGGCGUAAAGCGCGCGUAGGUGGUUAGUUAAGUUGGAUGUGAAAUCCCCGGGCUCAACCUGGGAACUGCAUUCAAAACUGACUGACUAGAGUAUGGUAGAGGGUGGUGGAAUUUCCUGUGUAGCGGUGAAAUGCGUAGAUAUAGGAAGGAACACCAGUGGCGAAGGCGACCACCUGGACUGAUACUGACACUGAGGUGCGAAAGCGUGGGGAGCAAACAGGAUUAGAUACCCUGGUAGU